AUUCGAAUGGUGUAUCCAAGAUAUAUAGAGACUGGUAGGCGCGCUUAUACCUGUAAAAUUUGACGCCAAAUCCGGCGCUAGGUAAACUCAAUCCAUAGAUGGCGCCAGGGUGAUCAGUGUACUUCAAAUGAAUGUCAUUUAAAUUGUUUUAGGUUAUGAUGUUAUGUACAAAAAUUUUUUACUUAGCGACUUGGUGUGGUUUGGCAUCUACAGUGUGUUAUACCUAGUUAUUGUUGCAAACAAUUUCGAGCAUUGAGGGGUUCCACUAAAAAGGAUGCUCGUUAUCACAGUAAAUAGUAGCGCAAUACCUGCAUUACAGACUUCUUACCCCGUCUAGCUGUCGGAGCUUGUACUGGAUCAAGCGAAGUCAACAAGUCAUUGAUCAAUGUAAACCAUAUGUGAACAAACCAGGAGCCGCCCUUCUUAUACCUAUUAAGAUAAGCAUCAAAUGACCCUCACCUACACAAUCUACGGUGUAAGCAAUCAUGCCGAGAGCUGUAAGAACCUCUGACACAAAAUCAUUAUUGCCCGUUUGAUUAGCGAGAUUCUCGGCUGCUGAGAUGGGGAUUGAAGGAACUGGCAAAAGUCUACAUUAUUACUGUUAAGAUGGAAGGAGUGUGGCUUAUCCUAACCUUAGUCAUCUUCCCAUUUAACGCCUCUGCAAAACGACCAACUUCGGACUUCAGAAGAAUGACAGAUCACUGCGUAGGCAACGACGUGGAAUUGUAUUAGGUGUCGAUGCUAACGAUGUGUGGGGAAACACAACUACACUACACUUCUGCAGUCUGCACAGCUUCCUUGCCUUGGGUCUCAUGCCGAGUACAAUUACUUAGUGGUCGCUCUCCUACUUUCCAUGGAAAUUUAAAAUACAGAUGCGUUAAAACAUAGACCCUUUUUCCAUAUUAUUAUCAGGGAAACUGCCUGUUACAUUUUUUACAAAUAUUUACAAAUAAAUUUUCUAUAAACAAC